UGGUGGAGUGAUUUGUCUGGUUAAUUCCGUUAACGAACGAGACCUCGACCUGCUAAAUAGUUGGAGAUACUUUCGGGUAACUCUAAACUUCUUAGAGGGACUAUCGGUUCUAUCCGAAGGAAGAUCGAGGCAAUAACA
rnacentral:rRNA from 1 species